rnacentral:rRNA from 1 species
GACGAACGCUGGCGGCGUGCUUAACACAUGCAAGUCGAGCGGUAAGGCCCUUUCGGGGGUACACGAGCGGCGAACGGGUGAGUAACACGUGGGUGACCUGCCCUCAGCUCUGGGAUAAGCCUGGGAAACCGGGUCUAAUACUGGAUAUGACUCCAUGACGCAUGUUGUGGGGUGGAAAGCCUUGUGCGGCUGAGGAUGGGCCCGCGGCCUAUCAGCUUGUUGGUGGGGUGANGGCCUACCAAGGCGACGACGGGUAGCCGGCCUGAGAGGGCGACCGGCCACACUGGGACUGAGACACGGCCCAGACUCCUACGGGGAGGCAGCAGUGGGGAAUCUUGCGCAAUGGGCGAAAGCCUGACGCAGCGACGCCGCGUGAGGGAUGACGGCCUGGUUGUAACU